UGGGGAAUAUUGCGCAAUGGGGGGAACCCUGACGCAGCCAUGCCGCGUGAAUGAAGAAGGCCUUCGGGUUGUAAAGUUCUUUCGGUAUUGAGGAAGGUUGAUGUGUUAAUAGCACAUCAAAUUGACGUUAAAUACAGAAGAAGCACCGGCUAACUCCGUGCCAGCAGCCGCGGUAAUACGGAGGGUGCGAGCGUUAAUCGGAAUAACUGGGCGUAAAGGGCACGCAGGCGGUUAUUUAAGUGAGGUGUGAAAGCCCUGGGCUUAACCUAGGAAUUGCAUUUCAGACUGGGUAACUAGAGUACUUUAGGGAGGGGUAGAAUUCCACGUGUAGCGGUGAAAUGCGUAGAGAUGUGGAGGAAUACCGAAGGCGAAGGCAGCCCCUUGGGAAUGUACUGACGCUCAUGUGCGAAAGCGUGGGGAGCAAACAGGAUUAGAUACCCUGGUAGUCCACGGUGUAAACGCUGUCGAUUUGGGGAUUGGGCUUAGAGCUUGGUGCCCGUAGCUAACGUGAUAAAUCGACCGCCUGGGGAGUACGGCCGCAAGGUU
rnacentral:rRNA from 1 species